rnacentral:tRNA from 1 species
GAGGCUUUAGCUUAAUUAAAGUGUCUGUUUUGCACACAGAGGAUGCGGGGUAGUACCCUGUAAGUCUUA